AGUGAACGCUGGCGGUAGGCCUAACACAUGCAAGUCGAACGGCAGCACAGUAAGAGCUUGCUCUUACGGGUGGCGAGUGGCGGACGGGUGAGGAAUACAUCGGAAUCUACUUUUUCGUGGGGGAUAACGUAGGGAAACUUACGCUAAUACCGCAUACGACCUACGGGUGAAAGCAGGGGAUCUUCGGACCUUGCGCGAUUGAAUGAGCCGAUGUCGGAUUAGCUAGUUGGCGGGGUAAAGGCCCACCAAGGCGACGAUCCGUAGCUGGUCUGAGAGGAUGAUAAGCCACACGGGAACUGGGACACGGUCCAGACUCCUACGGGAGGCAGCAGUGGGGAAUAUUGGACAAUGGGCGCAAGCCUGAUCCAGCCAUACCACGUGGGUGAAGAAGGCCUUCGGGUUGUAAAGCCCUUUUGUUGGGAAAGAAAAGCAGCAGGUUAAUACCCCGCUGUUCUGACGGUACCCAAAGAAUAAGCACCGGCUAACUUCGUG
rnacentral:rRNA from 1 species